CCCUAUGACAGCUUUUUAAUCGAAGUUUUCCUUCGGGACAGAGGAGACAGGUGGUGCAUGGUUGUCGUCAGCUCGUGUCGUGAGAUGUUGGGUUAAGUCCCGCAACGAGCGCAACCCCUAUCUUUAGUAGCCAGCAUUUCAGGUGGGCACUCUAGAGAGACUGCCAGGGACAACCUGGAGGAAGGUGGGGAUGACGUCAAAUCAUCAUGCCCCUUAUGGCCAGGGCUACACACGUGCUACAAUGGCGUAAACAAAGGGAAGCGAGACCGUGAGGUGGAGCAAAUCCCAGAAAUAACGUCUCAGUUCGGAUUGUAGUCUGCAACUCGACUACAUGAAGCUGGAAUCGCUAGUAAUCGCGAAUCAGAAUGUCGCGGUGAAUACGUUCCCGGGCCUUGUACACACCGA
rnacentral:rRNA from 1 species